UAGGGAAUAUUGUUCAAUGGGCGAAAGCCUGAACCAGCCAUGCCGCGUGCAGGAUGACGGCCUUCUGGGUUGUAAACUGCUUUUAUAUGGGAAGAAAAAGAUCUUGCGAGAUCAAUUGCCGGUACCAUAUGAAUAAGCACCGGCAAACUCCGUGCCAGCAGCCGCGGUAAUACGGAGGGUGCAAGCGUUGUGCGGAUUUAUUGGGUAUAAAGGGUACGUAGGCGGAUCUUUAAGUCCGUGGUGAAAGCCUACAGCUUAACUGUAGAACUGCCAUGGAUACUGGAGAUCUUGAAUUCAGUUGAGGUAAGCGGAAUUUAUGAUGUAGCGGUGAAAUGCAUAGAUAUCAUAAAGAACACCUAUUGCGAAGGCAGCUUGCUGGACUUGAAUUGACGCUGAGGUACGAAAGCGUGGGGAGCGAACAGGAUUAGAUACCCCCGUAGUCC
rnacentral:rRNA from 1 species